rnacentral:rRNA from 1 species
GCAAGUCGAACGGUGAACACGGAGCUUGCUCUGUGGGAUCAGUGGCGAACGGGUGAGUAACACGUGAGCAACCUGCCCCUGACUCUGGGAUAAGCGCUGGAAACGGCGUCUAAUACUGGAUACGAACCAUGAAGGCAUCUUCAGUGGUUGGAAAGAUUUAUUGGUUGGGGAUGGGCUCGCGGCCUAUCAGCUUGUUGGUGAGGUAAUGGCUCACCAAGGCGUCGACGGGUAGCCGGCCUGAGAGGGUGACCGGCCACACUGGGACUGAGACACGGCCCAGACUCCUACGGGAGGCAGCAGUGGGGAAUAUUGCACAAUGGGCGCAAGCCUGAUGCAGCAACGCCGCGUGAGGGAUGACGGCCUUCGGGUUGUAAACCUCUUUUAGCAGGGAAGAAGCGAAAGUGACGGUACCUGCAGAAAAAGCGCCGGCUAACUACGUGCCAGCAGCCGCGGUAAUACGUAGGGCGCAAGCGUUAUCCGGAAUUAUUGGGCGUAAAGAGCUCGUAGGCGGUUUGUCGCGUCUGCUGUGAAAUCCGGAGGCUCAACCUCCGGCCUGCAGUGGGUACGGGCAGACUAGAGUGCGGUAGGGGAGAUUGGAAUUCCUGGUGUAGCGGUGGAAUGCGCAGAUAUCAGGAGGAACACCGAUGGCGAAGGCAGAUCUCUGGGCCGUAACUGACGCUGAGGAGCGAAAGGGUGGGGAGCAAACAGGCUUAGAUACCCUGGUAGUCCACCCCGUAAACGUUGGGAACUAGUUGUGGGGUCCAUUCCACGGAUUCCGUGACGCAGCUAACGCAUUAAGUUCCCCGCCUGGGGAGUACGGCCGCAA